rnacentral:lncRNA from 1 species
GUUGUAGUGCUCGUUGGUUGUUACACCCCCUCCUCUUUUGUUAGACCUCUGUGGGUGCCUUUUGAAAUGGUCGCCGKGCCUACAAAGGCAGGAUCAUUGAUCUCCUCUCGGCAGCCGAGGAGACCAAAGUCCUCUAACAGGAAUCCAUCCAAUAUCCAGCUUUCCUAUUUGUUUGAAGCAAGAGUAAAAAGCAUGGUAUAUCUCUGUAUAUCUCUGCCAUUAUGUAUCCUCUUUGGAACCCGGAAGAACACAACAGUUAGAAAAGCCUGUUCACCCAAGAUUUGUGCUUAUAUUCAGCACCGAAGGGACAGCAGCAGAACAUACCCAAAUGCCAAGCUAAUCUGAGAGAAGAUACUGAUGUCACAUAUUGCCAAUAUCACACAGCAUACCCUGAAUCUGCCUUCUCUCUGCUCAGGCCACUCCCAUCUUGCCGCUGAARCAGCUCUGCUGCUGGGGAACUGUACGCAAGUGAGCUUGAAAUAAGAGAGAGGGAGAUGCCUUCUUUAAAACAUGAGACUGAAGACUCCAAAAGAUGUCAGCGAUAGAGACUUGGAGUAGUUCGUUUGGUCCGUUUUGUGCAGACACCUUGAGCAGUGAGAUCAGYACUAGGAGCAAAGUUUUCCAAGAGCUGAUUUGACCGUCAGAGCAUUGAGGACCUCUGUAACCUAACUCCACUCAGCAACCCUGCUUCCUAAGCAUCUGUCUUGUUGCCAGUACUCACUUUCAGGAACUUUUAUGUUCAUUUACAACAGUUUACAUCAACUCUUGCAUUCUUGUUACUGCUYGUAGCUUGAUCCUGAAAUUUCCAGCAGUCCAGUUGCUUUGUGUAGUAUUUCUGUUCAGUGGUCAAAAGCACACGCUGGCUAAACUUUAUUAUACAACACAGUCAUUUUUCAGUCCAACUUAAAGUCUCUUUACUUCCCAUUUCAAAAUGCUUUGCAGGUCCUUGAUUUUUAAAGAGAGCCUGCCAAGGCACUCCUGCCUUACUGAUACAAAUUACAAUAAAAUGAAGUAUGUCUGAAGUCA